ACGAACGCUGGCGGCGUGCUUAACACAUGCACGUCGAACGGAAAGGCCCUGCUUUUGUGGGGUGCUCGAGUGGCGAACGGGUGAGUAACACGUGAGUAACCUGCCCUUGACUUUGGGAUAACUUCAGGAAACUGGGGCUAAUACCGGAUAGGAGCUCCUGCUGCAUGGUGGGGGUUGGAAAGUUUCGGCGGUUGGGGAUGGACUCGCGGCUUAUCAGCUUGUUGGUGGGGUAGUGGCUUACCAAGGCUUUGACGGGUAGCCGGCCUGAGAGGGUGACCGGCCACAAUGGGACUGAGAUACGGCCCAGACUCCUACGGGUGGCAGCAGUGGGGAAUAUUGCACAAUGGGCGGAAGCCUGAUGCAGCAACGCCGCGUGCGGGAUGACGGCCUUCGGGUUGUAAACCGCUUUCGCCUGUGACGAAGCGUGAGUGACGGUAAUGGGUAAAGAAGCACCGGCUAACUACGUG
rnacentral:rRNA from 1 species